rnacentral:rRNA from 1 species
GAUGAACGCUGCCCGCAUGCUUAACACAUGCAAGUCGACUGUUGCGGACGGGUGAGUAACGCGUAAAGAACUUGCCUAACAGAUAGGGACAACAUUUGGAAACGAAUGCUAAUCCCUGAUACUGUGAGUGAGCUUUGCGUCACAUUAGCUCGUGGGAGAGGUAACGGCUCACCAAGGCGAUGAUGGGUAGCCGGCCUGAGAGGGUGAUCGGCCACAAGGGGACUGGGACACGGCCCUUACUCCUUCGGGCGCAAGGAGUGGGGAAUAUUGGACAAUGGACCAAAGUCUGAUCCAGGAAUUCGGGGUGUACGAUGAAGUUUUCGGAAUGUAAAGUGCGUUCAGUUGGGAAGCAGUACCAACAGAAGAAGUGACGGCUAAAUACGUGCCAGCAGCCGCGGUAAUAC